AGUGAACGCUGGCGGUAGACCUAACACAUGCAAGUCGAACGGCAGCACAGUAAGAGCCUGCUCUUACGGGUGGCGAGUGGCGGACGGGUGAGGAAUACAUCGGAAUCUACUUUUUCGUGGGGGAUAACGUAGGGAAACUUACGCUAAUACCGCAUACGACCUACGGGUGAGAGCAGGGGAUCUUCGGACCUUGCGCGAUUGAAUGAGCCGAUGUCGGAUUAGCUAGUUGGCGGGGUAAAGGCCCACCAAGGCGACGAUCCGUAGCUGGUCUGAGAGGAUGAUCAGCCACACUGGAACUGAGACACGGUCCAGACUCCUACGGGAGGCAGCAGUGGGGAAUAUUGGACAAUGGGCGCAAGCCUGAUCCAGCCAUACCGCGUGGGUGAAGAAGGCCUUCGGGUUGUAAAGCCCUUUUGUUGGGAAAGAAAAGCAGCAGGUUAAUACCCCGCUGUUCUGACGGUACCCAAAGAAUAAGCACCGGCUAACUUCGUG
rnacentral:rRNA from 1 species